AAGUUGUACCUUUUGUCUGCUUACCUGAAUGUGUUUCUGCAGAAACUCUUAAAAAGCUGGUAAUAGUAAAGCCAUAUUAUGAGCCCUGAGGACACUGAAGUUCUGAAAAUGACUAUAACA
rnacentral:snoRNA from 1 species